UAGAUGAGCCUAUAUUAGAUUAGCUAGUUGGUGGAGUAAUAGCCUACCAAGGCAAUGAUCUAUAGCUGAUCUGAGAGGAUGAUCAGCCACACUGGAACUGAGAUACGGUCCAGACUCCUACGGGAGGCAGCAGUGGGGAAUAUUGGACAAUGGGCGAAAGCCUGAUCCAGCCAUGCCGCAUGAGUGAAGAAGGCCUUUGGGUUGUAAAGCUCUUUUAGUGAGGAAGAUAAUGACGGUACUCACAGAAGAAGUCCUGGCUAACUCCGUGCCAGCAGCCGCGGUAAUACGGAGAGGGCUAGCGUUAUUCGGAAUUAUUGGGCGUAAAGGGCGCGUAGGCUGAUUAAUAAGUUAAAAGUGAAAUCCCGAGGCUUAACCUUGGAAUUGCUUUUAAAACUAUUAAUCUAGAGAUUGAAAGAGGAUAGAGGAAUUCCUGAUGUAGAGGUAAAAUUCGUAAAUAUUAGGAGGAACACCAGUGGCGAAGGCGUCUAUCUGGUUCAAAUCUGACGCUGAAGCGCGAAGGCGUGGGGAGCAAACAGGAUUAGAUACCCUGGUAGUCCACGCUGUAAACGAUGAAUGUUAAAUAUGGGAAGUUUACUUU
rnacentral:rRNA from 1 species